ensembl:lncRNA
ACAACCAUGUCACAGACAAGGAAAGGGGGCUCAGACAAAUGACAAGGUCCACCUCUGCUUUGCUCACUAGAAGGCGAGGGCGAUGCCAAACUAGAAGGUGUUGACAUUCUGCAGUGGAAAGGAUCCUGCCGGCCCCACUGGGCACAGAUGUAAUUACCAAUAUGAAGAUGAAUCUUUCAAGAGACUCAUUUUCUGGACCCAGGAGUGACCAAGACUAUUGUGGUUUCAGCACUGAAAGUACCUGCAUUCUCGGAAGUCCCUCAGUCCUCCGAAACCAGGACAGUUAGUCGCCCCCUCCUGUUUAACACCAGAAUAGAUGCUGAUUAUGCCUAUUUUAAAGAUAAGGAAACAGAGGCUCAGGGAGUUGGAAUAAUUGGCUAAGUGCACACACCUAAUGAGUGAUUAUGGUGAGUUCAAGUCCCAUGGGCUCCAAACCCAUGUUAUCCGUGGGUGCUCUAAACUAGGCAAGAUCCCUACCAGACCAAAAUUUCCAGCAUGUUCUGGUGAAUUUAUUCAGAAGAGCGUGGCAGCUAGAGAACCCCAAGGAGAGGGAGCUUGUCUCUGUGACCAGUGGGGCCGUGGGGAUUCUUCCUUGGCACUGUGGAUGGAGCAGAAGAGAACAGACCUGGCCGUGUGUGUGGGAGCUUGCAGGCUGGUGGGGGAUGCAUAUAUAACACAGAGGUGGGAAAGGGCAAGUGCCCUAAAGAAGAUGUAACCUGCCACCACUGAGUAAAAGAAUCAGUGGUGGGAGGGGCGCUUUCCCAAUAAAGUUGUUGGAGGGACCUCUGUGCAGAGAUGACACGUGAGCAAAACAACGGAAUCGGGUGAGAAUGAUUUUGUGUGAGUACAGUGUUCCAGGCCGAAGAAGCACAGCGCAAACACUCUGAGUCUGAAACAUACUUGGCCUGUGUAAGGAACAGCCAGGGAGCCAGUGAAGCUGGAAAGGAGUGAGAGAGGGAGAGGCUGCUGAGAGCUUAACCCUGGACCUUGCAAGGAGGCUACAGGAGGGUUUAGGGUGGAAGAAAGACACGACUGGGGGCUAGAGGUGACAGAGAUCACCGUGCCCCCCACCCCAGCCUCUCAGCCACAGCAGUAGUGUCUCCAAGGCCCCAGGACUGUGGUCCCUCUGGCCAGACGGCUCAUCAGGGCCGUCGAAGUGCCCUUCCCCUAUGUCUCUGGCCUGGUAGCUCAGCUCCUCUGGUCCGUCUUCCCAAGUCUCAGCGUCACUUCAGGAUCGGAGUCCUUCUGUCGGAUCAUUGAAGUUCUCAGCACUGCCCAGCACUGUACUGGGACCAGAGGGAGCGUGGAGUUUAUUCACCGUGCAUGUCAGGCAUGGGAUAGAAAAGCACACAAGAGAGCCACUCUCCCUGUUCUCUGAGCUGCUUACAUGCAGGGAGAGAGGCCGUCAUUAAACAAACAGACAGACACACAAAAGACUCCACACCUGUAUGCGAAUCAAUACAGCCGUGCGUCCUAGGAGAGAUGAGCUUGGAGAGAUAAACAGUGGUGGAAUCUCCGAGAGCCUUGAAAGCACUGCUGAACAGUGUGGGUGUGAUUUUGAAGGCAAUGAGAAGUCAUCAGUGGAAUGUAAAUGAGGGGCUGACUAAGCAGAUUCACUGGGAGAAAUGGGCCACUUGGAGAGAUACUAAGGAAGCAGAAGUGACGUGAACUGGCGACAGCUUAGAUGGAGCUGGAACUGGCAUGGAUAGAGGGGAAGCUUGAGUAGUGUCCCCCAAAACUGAGUGUCCACCAGGAACCUCAGGAUGUGAAUUUAUUUGGAAAUAGGGUCUUUACAGAUGUAAUCAGCUAAUUCAAGCUGCACUCAUAUGGCCUGGGACUAUUGACCAGUGACCCCUGUCCUUAUAAGAAGAGAAAACAGAGACACAGACACAUGAAGAUCAAGGCCAAGGUGAGGGGGAUGUGUCUACAAGCCAAGGACUGGUGGGGAAUGUCAGCCGUCACUGGAAGCUGGGAGGAGGCAAGGAGCCUCAGGAAGGAACAAUCCUGCCAAUAAUACAGAGGGGAAAGAGGAUGGGGAGAAACCAACAAUGACUCCCGCCCUGUGACGUCCGUGUCCUGGGAGGCCAUGAUGUGGUUUGUUGAGCUAAAGAAUGUGGGAAAAGCCAUCCGGGUUAUUUGCAAAAAAUAAGAUCCAGCGGAUCCAGGAAAGUAAGAGUAAAGAAGAAUCCAGAAUCAGCUGCAUCUGGACUGGAAGCCCAGCCCCCGAGGCUGCACUGUGUGGAGUUGUGUCCUGCUUUCCUGGGCUCUGGGAGGCAGAGGGGAAGCAGCCGUGAGACUGAUGAGCCUGACUUGCGUGGCUAUCCGUGGUCAGCCUGGGACAGCCAGGCUGCACCUGGGAUCUUUGGUGUCUAACUGAAGCUAGCUCUUCUCUUUCCAUGAUUACACACGACAGGGGCCCCAAGUCCAGCUGAGCAUAGUGGGCAAGGGUGGAGGAGACAGGGGAAGACAGCACUGGGGCAAGAUGUGUCAAUGGGGUAGCAAAGGGGUGGCAUUUAGUGGCAACAGAUGGAGAAGGGGCAACUUCAAGGAUCCCCUUGGUCUCUUCCCAUCUUUUCCCUAGAAGCCCCUGCAGCUGCACACUCCCCUUCUCCGUUGCAAAACCGUGGUUCCUCCAGUCCCCAACUAGGCCCUGCAGACUAGAUAACACAAGAGGCAAAUGAGCCUGAGAGACUUCCGGCCAACAUCAGAGGAAUUUCCAUCAACUCUUAGGCAUCAUUUUCUCAUGAUGAAAAUGGGGAGAGAACAGGAGUCCCACUGAGAACGUGGAGCAACACUCUGAAGACCACACUUGAGCAGAAUGGACCUUUCUGAGCCUCGGAGGAAAGAAAAAGUC